rnacentral:rRNA from 1 species
GGGGGGGGGGGGGGGGGGGGCGGGGGGGGGCAGGGCGGGGGAGCGGACGAGAAGCUGGCUUCUCUGAUGUUAGCGGCGGACGGGUGAGUAACACGUGGAUGACCUACCUAUAAGACUGGGAUAACUUCGGGAAACCGGAGCUAAUACCGGAUGAUAUUUUGAACCGCAUGGUUCAAAAGUGAAAGACGGUCUUGCUGUCACUUAUAGAUGGAUCCGCGCUGCAUUAGCUAGUUGGUAAGGUAACGGCUUACCAAGGCAACGAUGCAUAGCCGACCUGAGAGGGUGAUCGGCCACACUGGAACUGAGACACGGUCCAGACUCCUACGGGAGGCAGCAGUAGGGAAUCUUCCGCAAUGGGCGAAAGCCUGACGGAGCAACGCCGCGUGAGUGAUGAAGGUCUUCGGAUCGUAAAACUCUGUUAUUAGGGAAGAACAUAUGUGUAAGUAACUGUGCACAUCUUGACGGUACCUAAUCAGAAAGCCACGGCUAACUACGUG